rnacentral:rRNA from 1 species
UACGUGAAACUGCUCAGAGGUAAACGGGUGGGCCCUCGAAAUCCUGUGGCGAGAGGAUUCAGUGCGGCUCCGCGCACGCUCCGUGGGAAGUGUGUAGGGCUUCCCGGGACCAGGGGCCGUCCCGCGGAGUGUUUCGUGCGGUGCCGUACGCAUUUGACUCUCGCCCGAAGGACGCUGCAGCCGGUUCGGCAGUGCAAACGUGACGGCCUGAAGGUCGGGAGCCGGCAGGUGGCCGGUGGUCUUCCGGUUCUCGGUGGAUCGCCGGUUGUUAGCCGUCCCGUCGGUGGCUCGUCGCCGGACCGAGGUGUCGCGAGUCCCCUUGCGGGACUCCUCGUCUCCACCCCCAGAGUAGCGGGCCAGAACGCGGCAAGCUUCUGGCGCCGACUCGCCGCACUCCUCCGGAGUGGGCGGACAGGCGUCGGGAUCCGCUGGCCGCGACGGACCUGCGGGGGACCGGAGGCUGGCAGCGAGUAGGUCGGUCACCCACCCGACCCGUCUUGAAACACGGACCAAGGAGUCUAACAUGUGCGCGAGUCAGUGGGUCUUGAACAGGCCCACGGGCGCAAUGAAAGCGAAGGUCGUCCGAGCGGCGACCGAGUCGGGAUCUUCCCCGCUCGUCGGGGAGGCGCACCGACGACCCGUCCUAUCCGGCUCGCCGGUUGGGCGGAGUUUGAGCGUACACGUUGGGACCCGAAAGAUGGUGAACUAUGCCCGGGCAGGACGAGGCCAGA